GGACAGUUUCCCGAGUGGCCAAAGGGAACAGACUGUAAAUCUGUCAGCUCCGCUUUCGGUGGUUCGAAUCCACCACUGUCCACCA
rnacentral:tRNA from 1 species